GUGUGUCUCCUUGGACAAUUCGUUUCCGAGCGUUAGACAAGAGCCUAUUCUUAGGCCCUGAAUGGGGUCCCUCUUCCUGCAAGAAAACUUGAGUGCAGAUCACUAGGUUUGCUGAAGGAGGAACACACAAGGCCGAGUCCCAGGUGGUGUCCAGUGCUUCGGGUCCGAGGAUCGUACCUUGAGUAGCAAGGAGGAAGCGUAGAGGCAUCAGACAGACCUGAGCUUGAUACCCAGAUCUGCCACCUCCUCACCCACCUGCUCAUCUGCUGAAGAUUGCUGGGCCUUCAUCCCCGCCUCCCUGUAGGCUGAAAAUGGAAAUUGCACCCUGUGAGGUGGCUUUGAGGACAGCAUGAGAUGAGGAAAAUGGAGCCAGAGAGAUUGACACCAGAGGUCAUUCAGCUGGUCAGUAGCUGGGCAAGUACAUUUGCUUUUCCUAGGAGGCUAGACAUUUGAAGACUCUUCAAAGGGUAUUCAGGCCACAGAGCUUUAGACCAUCCGCACC